CUUGACAUCCAGAGAAUUUAGCAGAGAUGCUUUAGUGCCUUCGGGAACUCUGAGACAGGUGCUGCAUGGCUGUCGUCAGCUCGUGUUGUGAAAUGUUGGGUUAACGUCCGCAACGAGCGCAACCCUUAUCCUUUGUUGCCAGCACGUAAUGGUGGGAACUCAAAGGAGACUGCCGGUGAUAAACCGGAGGAAGGUGGGGAUGACGUCAAGUCAUCAUGGCCCUUACGAGUAGGGCUACACACGUGCUACAAUGGCGUAUACAAAGAGAAGCGACCUCGCGAGAGCAAGCGGACCUCAUAAAGUGCGUCGUAGUCCGGAUUGGAGUCUGCAACUCGACUCCAUGAAGUCGGAAUCGCUAGUAAUCGUAAAUCAGAAUGUUACGGUGAAUACGUCCCCGGGCCUUGUACACACCGCCCGUCACACCAUGGGAGUGGGUUGCAAAAGAAGUAGAUAGCUUAACCUUCGGGAGGGCGUUUACCACUUUGUGAUUCAUGACUGGGGUGAAGUCGUAACAAGGUAGGCGUAGUGCU
rnacentral:rRNA from 1 species